rnacentral:snRNA from 1 species
GUGCUCGCUUCGGCAGCACAUAUACUAAAAUUGGAACGAUACAGAGCAUGGCCCCUGCACAAGGAUGACAUGCAAAUUUGUGAAGCGUUCCAUAUU